rnacentral:rRNA from 1 species
GCUUACGGCCAUACCACCCUGUCUGCACCCGAUCUCGUUUGAUCCUGGAAGCUAAGCAGGGUCGGGCCUGGUUAGUACUUGGGUGGGAGACUGCCUGGGAAUACCAGGUGCUGUAAGCU